CAGUAGCCGCGGUAAUACGAGGGGGGCAAGCGUUGUUCGGAAUUAUUGGGCGUAAAGGGUGCGUAGGCGGUUUGACAAGUCUUGUGUGAAAUCUUCGGGCUCAACCCGAAGCCUGCACGAGAAACUGUUGAGCUUGAGUAUUGGAGAGGUGAGUGGAAUUUCCGGUGUAGCGGUGAAAUGCGUAGAUAUCGGAAGGAACACCUGUGGCGAAAGCGGCUCACUGGACAAUAACUGACGCUGAUGCACGAAAGCUAGGGGAGCAAACAGGAUUAGAGACCCCAGUAGUCCCUGUCUCUUAUAC
rnacentral:rRNA from 1 species